AUCUCCUGCAAAAUCAUUCAACGAGAAAAUCUCGAAAAGAACAGAACAAAAAUUCAUAAAAUAAAACAUAAAAGAUUUCGUAAAAUUUAUACAACAAAAAACAUUUCAUAUAUUUCUUAAAAGAAUAAUCUCCAUCAAAUAUGAAGCUAAGAAGCGGCCGCACUAUUGGUGAAAUCACACCAACUCCAGAGGAAGAACCAAUACCUUUUGCUGAUCCUGAACCAAUAAGAGAACAACAACAUUUAGUUUUUAAUGAUUAUCAAACAAUUAUCGAACAACCACGUUUACCUUUUAGUAUUCGUGGACUAAUUAACGAAAAACCACGUAUACAUAAACUUGUUGGCUGUUUGCUUUUUGGUGCAUUGCUCUUGAGCGUCAUGGCUUACUGGAUUUAGAUGCAGUCUUCGUAGUUCUGAGGUUUACAUUUCUUGAAAAACUUAUGAGAUUUGUGGCAUCUUCAUAUAGUUGAGAUGCAUACCUUUUGUUGAAUUUUGGAUGUAAACCAUCUCUGUGGAUCAAAUAGGUUAAUGUAGAAUCUAUGGAUUUCAUACGUGGAGAUGAAGGUUCAUUUUAGCAGCGAAUCUAAGAUGAAUAUCAACAGUUGUUUUAAUUGAGAAAAUAACAGGAAAGAUGUCAUCGAUGGUUCUAGGUGUUGUAUACAAAAAAUCAAGUUCUGGUCUUUCACUGUUUCACUGUUGAAAAAGUUGCAGCAACUAUAAAUUAAAUUAAAUUGGAAGAGAAUAUUCAAUUUCGAAAAAUAUGAAACCACUUUAAACAUAUAAUUAUAUUCGUUCAGUUACAUUCACAAUUUCAUCUCAAAAAAGAAUUUUUAAAUGAAUUAGAAGAAUUCAAGUUCUAUUUUUCAAAUUGUUUUUGGUUGCUUCAAUAACAACUCUAAAGAAGACUGCAAGAAAUGGGGAAUGAAUUAUUAAAAGAGCAUUCAAAUUUGGAAUAUGACAAUGAGAUGAACUUGGAUUUUAUUAGUUUGCUUUUAUUUCAAAAUUAAUUUCGUUCAAUUAUAUAUAUAAUUCCAUCUAAAGAAAAAAAAAUUAUAAACUGUUAAGAAGAA